UCAGCUCUCAACUCGUUCGGGGGAGAAGAAAAAUGUCCCGAACGCCUCUCCACUCACUCUUCACGUUUCCCUUAUCCAUCCCUACGGCCCCAACUCCCUCGUCACCGGUCGGACGACGAACCAAGCAGCAGCCCGCGAUCCCGAGCAGGGACGCCCAACACCCACCUCCUUCGACGUGCGCCGUCUUCUCCGGCCGCCGCCGGGGAUUUGCAGCCACCGGACGGUGAGGUUCUCUCACCCGCGACUGGCCUUGGGCGCCUUCAUGCCCGCUCCUCUUCAGCUCUGUGGAUCUGCAUCGCGCGCCGACGCCGAUGGCCCUGGAGCCGCCGCGAUUCUGGUCGGCGCCACAAGGUGGAGGUGCAUUCCUGGUGGUGGCCGAGCGCCGCACCGCCGCCUGCCCCGCCGCGGCGGACGACGAGGCCACCUCCUCUCGUCGAGGUCUUCACGCGACGGUAACCGUCAUGCCUCCACCGCGCUCUGGGUCAGCAUCCUUCUGCAAGCUCCUCGCCGACCUGCUCGAGAUGCCGCCGUGGGAAGAGAGCUGAGCGCCGCCUGCUCUCCUACGCUGACGCGGCUGGCGUCGGGGCUGCCUAUCUGUGCGUGAUCCUCGCGCGCUGCAGCGAGCACCAGGCCGCCGCGCUCCCGGUGAAUGCAGCUACCUAUGGACCGAAGGUAAAUUGCCAUCGUUUCCCCUCUGCCACCACCCGCCAUGCCCCACAGCGUUGGAGGAGGUCGAGGGAGUUCGAGCUCGACCAUCACGGCACACAUGCACAUGGCCCCUGCUGGCAUUGACUCCCUUCCCUGCAGAAACAAAGCAUACAAGAGAAUUACUCUUUCAGCAAGUGAAGAGCUACUUUUAUUUGUGAUGAUGCAAAAAGGAGUCCACAUCCCUACUAUCUUGUAGCCUACAGCAGCACAACUUGACUCACUGAUGAAGAUAAUACCAGUGUUUUUGGAGUUA